CGGUGAAUAGCGCAGUUUGGUAGCGCAUCUGGUUUGGGACCAGAGGGUCGGGGGUUCCCUGAUAUUAGAACCUAGCUCUUCACCUACCA
rnacentral:tRNA from 1 species